GAUGCCGCCGGACGUUUAGAAUUUGCUUCUGAAUUUGAUAUCGAAAUCCUUGAAGAAGCCAAGGCAGCGGAUUGGACCCGAAGAAAGGCUCUCGUUGGUAUUACUCUAUUUGUCACAAGGCGUGUCGGUGCAGAGCAUUGCAUGGAGCUAUAAGUUAGGAAAGUCAACAGUACGCGAAAUCAUAUUAGAGACGUGUGAAGUAAUCUGGCAGCUACUUUCCCCAAUUUAUGUAAGCGAGCCAACAGAGUCUCAAUACAAGGACAUUGCAAAAGAUUUUUAUAAUAUGUGGAACAUUCCGAAUUGUGUCGGUGCAAUUGAUGGUAAGCACGUUGCAAUUAAGUGCCCGGCCAAUUCCAAUUCGAUGUUUUACAAUUAUAAAAAAUUCUUUAGCAUCGUUUUGAUGGCUGUAUGUGAUGCGAAAUAUACGUUCACAGCAGUUAGUAUUGGCAGCUAUGGAAGUCAAAGUGACGGAGGAAUCUUUCGACUUACUCCAUUUGGCCAUGCAUUAAUACAAAACACUCUGCCUUUGCGACCACCUGUGCCACUGUCUGACGUGUCACCGGAACC